rnacentral:tRNA from 1 species
CUGAGGAUGUAGCUCAGAGGUAGAACAUUUGCUGUACAUGCAUAAGACUCUGGGUUCAAUCCCCAGUACUUAAA